AGAGUUUGAUCCUGGCUCAGAGCGAACGCUGGCGGCAGGCCUAACACAUGCAAGUCGAACGGCUCUUCGGAGCAGUGGCGGACGGGUGAGUAACGCGUGGGAACGUGCCCUUUGGUACGGAACAACUGAGGGAAACUUCAGCUAAUACCGUAUGUGCCCUUCGGGGGAAAGAUUUAUCGCCAUUGGAGCGGCCCGCGUUGGAUUAGGUAGUUGGUGGGGUAAUGGCCUACCAAGCCUACGAUCCAUAGCUGGUCUGAGAGGAUGAUCAGCCACACUGGGACUGAGACACGGCCCAGACUCCUACGGGAGGCAGCAGUGGGGAAUCUUGCGCAAUGGGCGAAAGCCUGACGCAGCCAUGCCGCGUGUAUGAUGAAGGUCUUAGGAUUGUAAAAUACUUUCACCGGGGAAGAUAAUGACGGUACCCGGAGAAGAAGCCCCGGCUAACUUCGUGCCAGCAGCCGCGGUAAUACGAAGGGGGCUAGCGUUGCUCGGAAUUACUGGGCGUAAAGGGCGCGUAGGCGGAUAUCUAAGUCGGGGGUGAAAGCCCGGGGCUCAACCUCGGAAUUGCCUUCGAUACUGGAUAUCUUGAGUACGGGAGAGGUGAGUGGAACUCCGAGUGUAGAGGUGAAAUUCGUAGAUAUUCGGAAGAACACCAGUGGCGAAGGCGACUCACUGGCCCGUUACUGACGCUGAGGCGCGAAAGCGUGGGGAGCAAACAGGAUUAGAUACCCCAGUAGUCC
rnacentral:rRNA from 1 species